rnacentral:rRNA from 1 species
AACGAACGCUGGCGGCAGGCUUAACACAUGCAAGUCGAGCGCAUCCUUCGGGGUGAGCGGCAGACGGGUGAGUAACGCGUGGGAACGUACCCUUUCCUACGGAAUAGCUCCGGGAAACUGGAACUAAUACCGUAUACGCCCUUAGGGGGAAGGAUUUAUCGGGGAAGGAUCGGCCCGCGUUGGAUUAGCUAGUUGGUGGGGUAAAUGCCUACCAAGGCGACGAUCCAUAGCUGGUCCGAGAGGAGGAUCAGCCACAUUGGGACUGAGACACGGCCCAAACGCCUACGGGAGGCAGCAGUGGGGAAUAUUGGACGAUGGGCGCAAGCCUGAUCCAGCCAUGCCGCGUGAGUGAUGAAGGCCUUAGGGUUGUAAAGCUCUUUCAGUAGGGAAGAUAAUGACGGUACCUACAGAAGAAGCCCCGGCUAACUUCGUGCCAGCCGCCGCCGUAA